AUGGCCCAAGUUAAUUCCACCACAGAUCACGUCGACCUGGAGAGGAACUCCAAGGAGCUGAGCAUGGCUGCAGGCGACGCACAAGGUAACUCAACCAACGAUCUUGACGCCUUUAAGCUGGAGCUGAUCGAGGCGGAAGAGGAAGUGGCGGCGGCGGCGGCAGGGGCCUACGACGAGAUCGUCGCUCGCUACAGGAAGAAACGCGCUGACCGUAAGGCUCGGAUCAUCAAGGAGCUGGGCGAGGAGGCCUACCUCGAGGCUGGCGACGACAUACUGGCCGACGACCCCGACUACGUGGAUGAGAUCAACGAGUGGACCGGGAUUCAAGAGGAGAGGCAUAAGGCGAACCUCAGGAGGAACGCCAUACUUCCUGGCUACAAGAAACUUUCUUACUCCGACGUAUACUCAGAAUUAUACUCAUGCUUGUACCCGGACUCGGAAUCAGACUCGAACUCUGACUCGGAGAAUGAGGAUGAGGAUGAGGAGGGAGAGGAAGACUCUCGCUCCGACUCUGGCGAAGAAGGACAAGAACAAGAAGGAGAAGAAGAAGAGGAAGAAGAGGGGGAGGAGGAGCUGGAAGCGAGAGACUGCGCAUGA
rnacentral:rRNA from 1 species